CCUUAUCAGCUUCGGUUUCUCUUGUACCGCGCCCUCAUUGCUCAACUUGUAUACGGUGAUGAAUCUAAUGAUAAAUUCAGUGGUGUUAUAGACAGUAGACUAGAACAACCCUUCAUCGUUUUUCAGAAAUUUUAUACAGUAAGAAUACGAAUUGAAUUUCUGAAGUUUUCAGUCCAAAUGCUUCAAAUUCCAAUAUCUUCUUCUUCAUCCCCGACAUUCCUCUCAUGGUGUUGGAGUUUGACCCCUCCUUCUGCUUCUUCUUCUUCAUUACCUCCUACCUACAGUUUCCCAACAAAUAAUGUCAGCAGAAGAAGAAGGAAAUACCCUUUUCGCGUGAUGAAUAGUACUAAAGUUGAAGAUGAUUACCAUGCAACUCUCAAAGCUUUGAAUAAAAGAGGUCGUACUCCUAGAGAAUCCCUUGGUCAGCAUUACAUGUUGAAUUCUUCAGUCAACGAUCAACUUGUUAGUGCUGCUGAUGUAAAAGAAGGGGAUGUUGUCCUUGAAAUUGGACCUGGAACUGGUUCUUUAACUAAUGUUCUUUUGAAUUCUGGUGCUACUGUUCUUGCUAUUGAAAAAGAUCCUCACAUGGUUGCACAUUUAAGAGAACGAUUUGAAGGCAUCAGUUCGUUCACGGUUCUUAAAGAGGACUUCACAAAAUGUCACUUUACUUCCCAUUUGAUGACUUUGUUGAAAACACCAGACGAAGAAAACUUCAAACAUGCAAAAGUAGUUGCCAACAUACCUUUCAAUAUAAGUACUGAUGUUGUGAAGGAACUUCUUCCAAGGGGUGACAUCUUUUCAGCAGUUGUUCUCUUACUCCAGGAUGAGACAGCUUUGCGAUUAGUAGAUGCAUCAUUGCGAACAUCGGAGUACCGUCCCAUCAAUAUAUUUGUGAACUUCUACUCUGACCCAGAAUACAAUUUUCAGGUCCAUCGAUCAAAUUUUUUCCCUGAACCCAAUGUAGAUGCAGCAGUUGCCACGUUCAAGCUAAAGCAGACAGCAGACUAUCCACCAGUUGCUUCUACUAAAAGCUUUUUCUCAAUGGUCAAUUCAGCAUUCAAUGGGAAGCGCAAGAUGCUGCGGAGAUCACUUCAACACAUAUGCCCGUCUUUGGAGAUAGAAAAUGCUCUCCAAAGCUUGAGUCUUCCAACUACAUCAAGACCAGGGGAGCUAACUCUGGACGAUUUUGUGAGUCUGCAUAAUUUAAUUGUGAAAGCUUAGAAUUCUUGGCUGGCCUGGAGUUAUCUGGUUUGCCUGAAGCCUUUAAGUAAUAUCGCACAAGAUCCACGACAAUGUUCAAGCUAGCGAAAAAUGUUAACAAAACGACUAACUGAAUGACUAAAGAAGCAGGAGUUUGACAAAAUUGCAAGAUUUCGGGUUCAGUUGUAUAUGCUUUCAUAUGCAAAUUUACAAUGGUAAGCAGAAAGGGAACUGUGACUAAUUCUGCCAAAGAGGAUCUUUAGUUAUUGUCAAAGAAAUGAACCUAUUCGGAGUCUUAUAUAUAUGGUAAAGGCUAGCCAGGAAAACAAAAAGUAGUUUGCAAGUCCUUAACUGAUUACAAUGGCUUUAUUUUUUCAUAUGUACAUCUGUACAGUUAUUCAUGUAAUGAACUAGAAAUUUGCUGGAUUUUUCUCUUUUAGUAUUUGAACUCCGAAGCGGGAAAUAAGGAAAAAGAAAAAGCAGUUGUCCUG